GACGAACGCUGGCGGCGUGCUUAACACAUGCAAGUCGAACGGAAAGGCCCUGCUUUUGUGGGGUACUCGAGUGGCGAACGGGUGAGUAACACGUGAGUAACCUGCCCUUGACUUUGGGAUAACUUCAGGAAACUGGGGCUAAUACCGGAUAGGAGCUCCUGCUGCUUGGUGGGGGUUGGAAAGUUUCGGCGGUUGGGGAUGGACUCGCGGCUUAUCAGCUUGUUGGUGGGGUAGUGGCUUACCAAGGCUUUGACGGGUAGCCGGCCUGAGAGGGUGACCGGCCACAUUGGGACUGAGAUACGGCCCAGACUCCUACGGGAGGCAGCAGUGGGGAAUAUUGCACAAUGGGCGGAAGCCUGAUGCAGCAACGCCGCGUGCGGGAUGACGGCCUUCGGGUUGUAAACCGCUUUCGCCUGUGACGAAGCGUGAGUGACGGUAAUGGGUAAAGAAGCACCGGCUAACUACGUG
rnacentral:rRNA from 1 species